UACGUAGGGGGCUAGCGUUGUCCGGAAUCAUUGGGCGUAAAGCGCGUGUAGGCGGUCCGGUAAGUCCGCUGUGAAAGUCGGGGGCUCAACCCUCGGAUGCCGGUGGAUACUGUCGGGCUUGAGUACGGAAGAGGCGAGUGGAAUUCCUGGUGUAGCGGUGAAAUGCGCAGAUAUCAGGAGGAACACCAAUUGCGAAGGCAGCUCGCUGGGACGGUACUGACGCUAAGGCGCGAAAGCGUGGGGAGCGAACAGG
rnacentral:rRNA from 1 species